AUUGAACGCUGGCGGCAGGCUUAACACAUGCAAGUCGAGCGGGGGAAGGUAGCUUGCUACCGGACCUAGCGGCGGACGGGUGAGUAAUGCUUAGGAAUCUGCCUAUUAGUGGGGGACAACAUCUCGAAAGGGAUGCUAAUACCGCAUACGUCCUACGGGAGAAAGCGGGGGAUCUUCGGACCUUGCGCUAAUAGAUGAGCCUAAGUCGGAUUAGCUAGAUGGUGGGGUAAAGGCCUACCAAGGCGACGAUCUGUAGCGGGUCUGAGAGGAUGAUCCGCCACACUGGGACUGAGACACGGCCCAGACUCCUACGGGAGGAAGCAGUGGGGAAUAUUGGACAAUGGGGGGAACCCUGAUCCAGCCAUGCCGCGUGUGUGAAGAAGGCCUUAUGGUUGUAAAGCACUUUAAGCGAGGAGGAGGCUACUCUAGUUAAUACCUAGGGAUAGUGGACGUUACUCGCAGAAUAAGCACCGGCUAACUCUGUGCCAGCCGCCGCCGUAA
rnacentral:rRNA from 1 species